CAAAAAAUAAUUUAAUUAAAAUAAUAAUUUUGGAGAUUAUAAAUAUAUAAUUUAUUAUAUUUUUUUGA
rnacentral:tRNA from 1 species